rnacentral:rRNA from 1 species
AGUGAACGCUGGCGGUAGGCCUAACACAUGCAAGUCGAACGGCAGCACAGUAAGAGCUUGCUCUUACGGGUGGCGAGUGGCGGACGGGUGAGGAAUACAUCGGAAUCUACUUUUUCGUGGGGGAUAACGUAGGGAAACUUACGCUAAUACCGCAUACGACCUACGGGUGAAAGCAGGGGAUCUUCGGACCUUGCGCGAUUGAAUGAGCCGAUGUCGGAUUAGCUAGUUGGCGGGGUAAAGGCCCACCAAGGCGACGAUCCGUAGGUGGUCUGAGAGGAUGAACAGCCACCCUGGAAGAGAGAAACAGUCGAGACACCUAGGGGAGGCAGCAGUGGGGAAUAUUGGAGGAGGGGCGCAUGCCGGAUCUAGCAAUACCGCGUGGAGGAAGAAGGCCUUAGGCUUGUAGAGCCAUGUAGUUGGGAAGGAAAAAAAGCAGGUUAAUCCCCGGCUGUUCUGACGGUACCCAAAGAAUAAGCCCCGGCUAACUUCGUG